rnacentral:rRNA from 1 species
UGACCUCAGAUCAGGCAAGAUUA